UUUCAAAUAUUAAGAUUUGCAGGCGAAAAUUCAAUAUUUUGGAGCUAUCUCCAUUAAAUAUGUUUAAUUUUCGAAAAGAACAAGAUUAUAUUAAGGUUAGGUUCAUUUUUGGAAUUAGGGUUUGUUAUUGGGCUAUAACAAUAACUCUGUUCUAUUUAGUAUAAUUUUAAUUCUUGUAUUAUUCAUCAUUAACACUAAAUUCGUAGUAGUACAUAUAAAUCAUAUUUUUCAUAUCUAUGUAAACAUAAUUUGAUUAUUUGAUAGUAUGUAUAAUAAAAAACGUUGAUGGGGACAGUUGCAAGUUAAACAUUAAAUUUACCAGGUUAAAGUUUAUUCUGGAACAGCACAUCUAAAGGACCUAGAGCAACUGUUUCAGGCAAAUUAAAGUUAUUGAUCAAGUUAUGGAAGACACUUCAAUGUUACCAUCGAUGAACAUGAAGUCUGAGAAGUCUCGGCUGGAUCCAUCUUGAAAACAAAUAUGAAACUUGAGCUGACAACUCUUAAAUUGAAAAAAGAUUUAAAGAGUACCUGAUGCCUCCAAUGUAAAAGCAGCCAAUGUUUCCAUAUGAAAGUGUUAUCAAAGUGUCAAUUCCAUUACUAUUCAAUCCUGAUGUUUCUUUUAUUGAAAAAAUAAAUAAAGUAUUAAAAAUGAGUACACCAAACCAAGUGACAUUUAUAUUAGUUGGAAUAUCAUUUUAAUAUGGAAUAAAAGUUCCAAAACUGUAGCAUCUUAUUAGUAGUUUUACAUAAAUGAAAGUAAGUGUGUUAAUAAUUCGAAAAUUGUACCAAUAGUUUAAUCAACUAUUAAAUUAUCAGGAGAUAAAGCAUGGUGGAAUAUGAGUAUGGAUUAGAUUUUCUGAUUCAUUUAGUAUCAAACUGAAAACAAAAUUUCGAAAUGGAAGAUGCCAUUUGUGCAAUUUAUGGGAGUUACAUCUUCAUGCAUUGCUUACUUGUGAUGGACUGUUAUGGAUUUCACUUGAGUAGAAUUUUUUUGCAAAACUACUAGGAAACGUAUAAAUGAUUGGUAUUUUUUUGGAUUAUAUUGUAAAAUACAAAUAAUUGAGAAAAACCCUGUAUAUCAUAAUUAAUAAAAAUAAUUUCAGAAA